GACGAACCUUGCUAACGUUAUUCGGAAUUACUGGGCUUAAAGGGUGCGUAGGCGGUGCGGAAAGUUGGGUGUGAAAUCCCUCGGCUCAACCGAGGAACUGCGCCCAAAACUACCGUGCUAGAGGAAGAUAGAGGUGAGCGGAACUCAGGGUGGAGCGGUGAAAUGCGUUGAUAUCCUGAGGAACACCGGUGGCGAAAGCGGCUCACUGGGUCUUAUCUGACGCUGAGGCACGAAAGCUAGGGUAGCGAACGGG
rnacentral:misc_RNA from 1 species